UACGAAGGGGGCGAGCGUUGUUCGGAAUUACUGGGCGUAAAGCGCACGUAGGCGGAUAUUUAAGUCAGGGGUGAAAUCCCAGAGCUCAACUCUGGAACUGCCUUUGAUACUGGGUAUCUCGAGUAUGGAAGAGGUGAGUGGAAUUCCGAGUGUAGAGGUGAAAUUCGUAGAUAUUCGGAGGAACACCAGUGGCGAAGGCGGCUCACUGGUCCAUUACUGACGCUGAGGUGCGAAAGCGUGGGGAGCAAACAGG
rnacentral:rRNA from 1 species